AGGAGAUAGAGAGGGGUCCAGAUCAGAAAUCAUAAUCCUGAAACCUUCUCUCGGUAGUUUAGGACAUGCAAUAGGGAAGAAUUAAUAUAUUUUCCAGUUAUAUUUCAUUUUAUAGAGGAAAACUACAAUUUCCUGAAUGCACUGCUGGCUAGCUCACUGAAAUGAAUAUUUUAACAGUGAAAAGUGGCACGGAGGCUUAAACAACAGUUCAAAGAGGCUAUGUCUGAAAACUACAGUACAUCUAACAGCAAGACUUCCAUAAUACAACGUGUGGUCUCAGAGGAAGCAUUCCACCAGGCAGAGGUAACACAGAUCAACUAAAGCACACUUUCCUUCCAACGUGCUGCUUAGCUGAAAUGGGACUAGAGGAGUCUUUUUUAAGCUCUUGCAGCACUGUGCAGCAGCAGGCAGCAGACAGUGCAUGAUUGCACUGGGACUUAAGAGCAAACUCCAGCUCCCUGUCAAUGGCUGUGUGCCAGACAGCUCAGCCUGCAGAGAGCAAAACCCUUCAAAAGGCUGAGCCUUUAAAAGGGAGACUGUCAACAUCCGUCUGAACCGUUAGUGGGGGGAUCGCCACAGGAAAAGGGAGCACGCCGGAAAAUUGAGGGGAAUGGGAGCAAGUGGCAUAAAAGGGCUAAUUAUCUUCCUAUUCCCUUUGCAUGCCUAUUAAAGACCACCA
rnacentral:lncRNA from 1 species